UACGUAGGGUCCGAGCGUUGUCCGGAAUUACUGGGCGUAAAGAGCUCGUAGGUGGUUUGUCGCGUUGUUCGUGAAAACUCACAGCUCAACUGUGGGCGUGCGGGCGAUACGGGCAGACUAGAGUACUGCAGGGGAGACUGGAAUUCCUGGUGUAGCGGUAGAAUGCGCAGAUAUCAGGAGGAACACCGGUGGCGAAGGCGGGUCUCUGGGCAGUAACUGACGCUGAGGAGCGAAAGCGUGGGGAGCGAACAGG
rnacentral:rRNA from 1 species